ACCCACUUGAAUUUUGGGUUUAUAUGAAUCUUAUACUCAAUGAUCCGAUUUGAUCCGAAAUCAUUAUAUGAUUCAAACCUAUUAUAUGCUAGCAUGGGUUAGACACAAAUUACAGUGGGCUGUCCACUUACACAAUAUUAUCUUCUUCCUUUUCCACUCUCAUAAUUGAGUGGCACCCACUGGUUCAAGCUAAUGAAUCUCCAACAAACAUUAUCUUCUUCCUUUCCACCUCC
rnacentral:lncRNA from 1 species